rnacentral:rRNA from 1 species
UGGUCAAGUUAUUAAGGGUGCAGGGCGGAUGCCUUGGCACUAGGAGCCGAUGAAGGACGUGAUAAGCUGCGAUAAGCUUCGGGGAGUUGCACGUAAACUUUGAUCCGAAGAUUUCCGAAUGAGGAAACUCACUUAGAGUAAUGUCUAAGUAUCAUUAAGUGAAUACAUAGCUUAAUGAGGGGAACUCAGGGAACUGAAACAUCUAAGUACCUGAAGGAAGAGAAAGAAAUUCGAUUCCGUAAGUAGCGGCGAGCGAACGCGGAUUAGCCCAAACC